GAAUAUUUGCAACUUUGAAGGUUAUUUUAAGGACAGCAGCAGAAGAAUUAUGGCAGCUUCUUUAAAAUAUGAAGACUUCGAAGUUAUUUAUCCAAACCAACCUGAUCAUUUCUUAAGAGUGAAUAUACCUUGGAAGACGUGUCCUGCCUUUAGUAGCGUCACAAUGGAUUACAUCCUCUAUAAAGCAGUCUGGGUUCUGUUUUUCCUCUUCUAAUCCUUCACCCAUCUGAGCUAAAGUCUAGACCUAAGGAGGCUACUAAUUCAGGGAUCGAGUAAUCUGCCAAGCAAGAGUUUAUUCAAGCACAGUUUGAAAUAAAGGUUUCAAAUGCAUAGCCUGUCGAUACUUUGGAAGGAUUCUCAUCAUAACGAGUAUGCAAUUUGCUAUAAAGAAGAAUGCCCAUUACGGACUAAAUGUUUAUGUCCUCCUAAAAUUCAUAUGUUGAAGGCCUAACUCUCAAUGUGAUGAUUAUGUGGAGAUGGUGCCUUUGGGAGGAUAUGGGAGGACACCUGAGACGGCAGGCCAGAAGUCACUCAGUAGGAGAAACAUCCGUUAGAAGUAAUAAUGUGGGAUUGCUGAAGUAAAGACUAUAGGAAGAAAAAAGUGUCUGUGUGUAGGAAACGGAAAGGGAGAGAAAAAUACACUGAGAUGGUAAAGUAAGGAAGUGGAAGAUCAGCAGAAUGUGCAGAUGCCAAGCCAUCCAAGAAAAUCAUCUCUUGUGAUUGUUGCGAAGUCAACUAGCUAAUGUGACUCACUGCUAGGCUGUUGGAUCUGAGACUUAUGUGGGAUAAUUUAGAAACUUGCUAGUGUCUUAAGAUCAAUUACUCACCAAUGAGAGUGGCAUUGAACUGUGAAUGUUCCUCCUAGAUUUUCCAUGAAGACUAAUGGUUUUGUCUUGUCUUGAAUUUGUUUUAAUUACAAUUUGUAUACAUCCUGUUCCACCCUGAAAUUUUUAUUUUCCAAAUGGUUUUUCAUUUAAAGAGACUAAAUAAAGGUUCUGACU
ensembl:lncRNA LINC00343 long intergenic non-protein coding RNA 343